rnacentral:rRNA from 1 species
AAAUCUGUUUGAAAAUAGGGGACCCUUCCUCUAAGGCUAAAUAUGAUAUAUAAGCGAUAGUGAAAAGUACCGUGAGGGAAAGAAAUAAUAGAGUAGUUUUAUAAGCAGCUUAAUUGUUAAGAAUAAUAAAAAAGCGUACCUUUUGUAUAAUGGGUCAGCAAGUUAAUAAUAUAUGCGAGCGAAAUGCGAAGUGAACACAAUUAUCACAUAAAUAAUAAGUAUUUAUUAUUAGACCCGAAGACUAGUGAUAUUACCCCGAUCAGGAAUGAAGUCCGAACGGUUUAUCGUUGUAGAGAUAUCCGAUGAAUUGGGGUAAGUAAGUGAAAGACAAAUCUGACUAGUAUAGCUGGUUUUCUGCGAAACCUAUCUAAGUAGGCGGUUUAAAAAUUAUCAAGGAAGGUACAGCAAUGUAAUCAUAAUAUUCGACUAGAAACUAGUUUUUUAUUAUUGCGGGGGUGUGACAGCCUUACAAUUAUGUAUUUGCUCUCGAAAGGGCUUUGAUAAAAUAUGAACUAUCAGACAUAGUACGAUAAGGUUGUAUGUCAAAAGGGAAACAGCCCAGAACAAAAGUUAAUAAGGUUCCAAAAUUAUUAUUAAGUGAAAUUAAGGUAGUGUUUGUCUUAUUCGGCUAGUAAGUGGGCUUAGAAGCGGCCAUCUUUUAAAGAUCUCGUAAUAGAGCACUAGUUUAUUUUAAACAGAUAGGGGCACCGAAGAUUUAACGGAUCAAAGUAAUAUACCGAAACUUUGUCUGCAUGCAUGCAUGCAGGGUAGCAGAACAUAGGGUGUAUUGUAAAUUAAUAUUUUUUUAAUGUUAAAAGUAAAAAAGAGCUCUAGAGAUAAUGCUGACAUGAGUAACGAAAAAGGAGGGAAUAUACCCACCUCGCCUAAAGCUUAUGGAUUUAAACCGUACCUAAAAACUAACACCAGUAAGCUAGUAGAGAAUACGAAGGCGUUUGAGUGAACAAUUAUUAAGGAACUCGGCAAAUUUACUCCGUAACUUAGGGAGAAGGUGAGCCACCGAAUCUUGGUUAAUAUCAAGUAAAGGGGAGGAGGCACAGAAUAGUGUUGUACGACUGUUUAAUUAAAACAAAGCACUUUGCAAAAAAGUAAAUUUGAAGUAGAGAGUGUGAGUUCUGCCAAAUGUUGGCAGGAUAUAGUAUUUUACCUUACGAAAACCAAUAGUAGAUAGGAAUUGAUAGAUUCCCCAAUUAAUGGCGGCCUUACCGAUGAGGGUCCAAAGGUAGCGGAAUACCCUGGCCGUUAAAUGCGGUCUUGCAUGAAUGAUUUAACGAUACAACAGCUGUCUCGAUAAUUGGCUCAGUGAAAUUGGAAUAACUGUGAAGAUACAGUUUACCUCUAGAUAGACGAGAAGACCCUAUGCAGCUUUACUGCUACUAGUUAUAGGAUGUAAUUGGUGAGGAUUAGUUUAUAAGGUAAUAGAUUAAAUAAUAAUGAAAUCCCUUUACUCCUUGGUUACAUUUACUACCCUCUUUAAAUAGAGGAAACAAUCGCUAGGAGGUAGUUUAUGCGGGGCACAGAUCCCAUAAAUAGUAACUGAACAGGCUUAUUGCGCAAGAGAGUUCAAAUUGAGUGCGCAGUUUGGCACCUCGAUGUCGGCUUAGCUUAUCCACAUGAAUGCAAGGAAUAUGAAUGGUUGGACUGUUCGUCCAUUAAAAAGCUACACGAGCUGGGUUAAAUACGUCGUGAGACAGUAUGGUUUCUAUCUUCUAGAGGAAAUUAAAGUAAAAUAAGAGGAGACCCCUUGUACGAAAGGAACGUAGGGUUAAGCCAACCUAUAGUAUACAUGCUGUU